rnacentral:rRNA from 1 species
CCUACGGGAGGCAGCAGUGAGGGAUAUUGGUCAAUGGGGGAAACCCUGAACCAGCAACGCCGCGUGAGGGAAGACGGUUUUCGGAUUGUAAACCUCUGUCCUCUGUGAAGAUAAUGACGGUAGCAGAGGAGGAAGCUCCGGCUAACUACGUGCCAGCAGCCGCGGUAAUACGUAGGGAGCAAGCGUUGUCCGGAUUUACUGGGUGUAAAGGGUGCGUAGGCGGCCCUGCAAGUCAGAAGUGAAAUCCAUGGGCUUAACCCGUGAACUGCUUUUGAAACUGUAGGGCUUGAGUGAAGUAGAGGCAGGCGGAAUUCCCGGUGUAGCGGUGAAAUGCGUAGAGAUCACACAGAACACCGAUUGCGAAGGCAUCUCACGAAUCCGCGAUUGACGCUGAUGCAUGAAAGCGUGGGUAUCAAACAGGAUUAGAUACCCCAGUAGUC